rnacentral:ncRNA from 17 species
UCCGCUCGGGUCCGUGGUUGCGUUGGGCCGCAUCGAGCCAGGGGUGAUCGGGCGGUCACACCCGGCAGGCCCAACAAGCCGAUGCCAGCCGCAGGCAAAACGGCCCACGUAAGGCGACACACCGUCGUCCGAUCACGGUGCGGCUUAGACGUAAGUCCUGCCACUUCGGUAGGUCCGACACCUACCGGAGGAGUUCAGGUCCGUGGUGCCAUCGCAGGUAGGCUGCGAAGACCUCGGCAGGCGAGUGUGGGGUCGAAGACCAGGUCGGCCGGGCGGG